GACAGGACAGAAUAGGUCAACUUUUGUUUAACUAGGCCUAUAUAUUUUCAUAUUUAAUUUAUGGAGAUUUUUUGGGACCUCAUAAUACUAGUCAGCACAAAAAACAUCAUGCAUCUGCAAAUGCUGGGGGGAAGUAUCAGGAUAUCUUUAUCAAAAUAUCAUCUCUCUCAAGAGCCAUUUUGUAAUAUGAAUGUAUCGGCCCAACUGCAAAACAGAUACAGAUAUAAUGACUGUUGGGCUAAGAUGUCCUGUCACAUCAAGAUAGGGGGCUCCUUUUGGGAAUGUAGAACCCCCAAGGCAAAAGAUCAAGAUGAUGUUCCAGAAGAAGCUAAAAAAAUAUUUGAGAAGAUCUAAUCAGAUUUGAUCUUAAAAACUGGACAUAGAAUGUCAGACAAGUCAGUCAGAAGGGGAAUUGAAAACAUUUUGAAUCUAAAUUCAAAAUGUUUUCAAUUCUAGUUGAUGCAAGAAGAAUUGAAAACAUUUUGUGGCUGCAGCUAAAUGCUUACUAGCUUAUAAUACUAUAAAAAAACAC
rnacentral:lncRNA from 1 species